GCAAGUCGAACGAACCUCUUCGGAGGUGAGUGGCGCACGGGUGAGUAACACGUGCAUAACGUACCCUGAAGCGGGGGAUAACAGGCCGAAAGGCCUGCUAAUACCGCAUAAGACCACGGCUUCUUCGGAAGCAGUGGGAAAAGGUGGGCCUUUUGGCCUGUCACUUCGGGAUCGGUCCGCGGCCCAUUAGUUAGUAGGUGGGGUAAUGGCCUACCUAGACUGUGAUGGGUAGCUGGUCUGAGAGGACGAUCAGCCACAUUGGAACUGAGACACGGUCCAGACUCCUACGGGAGGCAGCAGUGGGGAAUAUUGCGCAAUGGGCGAAAGCCUGACGCAGCCACGCCGCGUGAGUGACGAAGGCCUUCGGGUUGUAAAGCUCUGUCGGGAGGAACGAACGCCCGGUCGGUUAAUACCCGGCCGGAAUGACGGUACCUCGCAAGAAAGCACCGGCUAACUCCGUGCCAGCAGCCGCGGUAAUACGGAGGGUGCAAGCGUUGUUCGGAAUCACUGGGCGUAAAGCGUGCGUAGGCGGUUUGGUAAGUCGAGAGUGAAAUCCCAGGGCUCAACUCUGGAACUGCUCUCGAUACUGCCGAACUUGAGUGUGGGAGAGGGAAGCGGAAUUCCUGGUGUAGCGGUGAAAUGCGUAGAUAUCAGGAGGAACACCCGUGGCGAAAGCGGCUUCCUGGCCCAUUACUGACGCUGAGGCACGAAAGCGUGGGGAGCAAACAGGAUUAGAUACCCUGGUAGUCCACGCCGUANACGAUGAGUGCUAGGUGUUGGAGGUAUUGACCCUUCCAGUGCCGUCGCUAACGCAUUAAGCACUCCGC
rnacentral:rRNA from 1 species